rnacentral:rRNA from 1 species
UACGUAGGUGGCGAGCGUUAUCCGGAAUUAUUGGGCGUAAAGAGCGCGCAGGUGGUUGAUUAAGUCUGAUGUGAAAGCCCACGGCUUAACCGUGGAGGGUCAUUGGAAACUGGUCGACUUGAGUGCAGAAGAGGGAAGUGGAAUUCCUGGUGUAGCGGUGGAAUGCGCAGAGAUCAGGAGGAAUACCGAAGGCGAAGGCAGUCUUCCAAGCCGUUAUUGACGCUCAACUGCGAAGGUGUGGGUAUCAAACAGGAUUAGAUACCCCGGUAGU